rnacentral:rRNA from 1 species
GACGAACCGUGCGAACGUUGUUCGGAAUCACUGGGCUUAAAGGGCGCGUAGGCGGGUGACCAAGUCCGGGGUGAAAUCCUCCAGCUUAACUGGAGAAGUGCCUCGGAUACUGGUUGUCUUGAGGAGGGUAGGGGCAUCUGGAACUAGCGGUGGAGCGGUGAAAUGCGUUGAUAUCUACAGGAACUCCGGUGGCGAAAGCGGCGCGCUGGACCUCUUCUGACGCUGAGGCGCGAAAGCUAGGGGAGCAAACGGG